rnacentral:rRNA from 1 species
AAUUGGAGGGCAAGUCUGGUGCCAGCAGCCGCGGUAAUUCCAGCUCCAAUAGCGUAUAUUAAAGUUGUUGCAGUUAAAGAGCUCGUAGUUGAAUUUCGGAAUCUGUCCUUUGGUCGGGCUUCACUGUCCGUACUGGUGUGAUGGGUUUCUACCUUCUGAAUAACCGGCACGUCAUUAAUUUGGUGCGCCGGGGAAGCAGAACUAUUACCUUGAAAAAAUUAGAGUGCUUAAAGCAGGCUAUCGCCUGAAUAGAUUAGCAUGGAAUAAUAAAAUAGGACGGCAUGGUUCUAUUUUGUUGGUUUCUAGGAUCACCGUAAUGAUUAAUAGGGAUAGUUGGGGGCAUUAGUAUUCAAUUGUCAGAGGUGAAAUUCUUGGAUUUAUUGAAGACUAACUUCUGCGAAAGCAUUUGCCAAGGAUGUUUUCAUUAAUCAAGAACGAAAGUUAGGGGAUCGAAGACGAUCAGAUACCGUCGUAGUCUUAACCAUAAACUAUGCCGACUAGGGAUCGGACGAUGUUAAUUUUUUAAUGACUCGUUCGGCGCCUUACGGGAAACCAAAGUGU